GACAGAGGGGGCAAGCGUUGCUCGGAAUUACUGGGCGUAAAGGGCGCGUAGGCGGGAUGGCAAGUCGGUCGUGAAAUCCCUCGGCUCAACCGAGGAACGUCGAUCGAUACUGCUGUUCUUGAGGAUUGCAGAGGAGACUGGAAUUCCCGGUGUAGCGGUGAAAUGUGUAGAGAUCGGGAGGAACACCGGUGGCGAAGGCGGGUCUCUGGGCCUUACCCGACGCUGAGGAGCGAAAGCGUGGGGAGCGAACAGG
rnacentral:rRNA from 1 species